AUCUAUAAAUUCAGUGUGGGGAGGCUGUAUCCUCCCUUUAAAUAUAUUUUGAACUUUUAUUUUCUUUAGCUUGUUCAAAGAAAAAUGGAAUAAAUGUUUGUUUUCCUACAAUGAUCUCUGGUUAGGGCCAUCUUGACUAUAGACUGAAAAUCAAAAUAUAAAUCAUGAGCCUUUCUUAUGCAAAUACUCAUUGUUAACAUUUGUCAGACACAGAGAGAAAACACUCAAAGUCCUCUCUCAUCUUUAUGUAGGCUGAAAACAAAUCACACGAGUAAGUAAUGCUGAAAGCACUAAUAUUCUUUGAAGCUUUUGAGCAGCAUUAAUGUCCCAAGAAACCUGUAGGUGAGCUAUCUAUAAAAAUAAAUAAAUAAAAAUGCUUGGCAUACUAAUGACCCACAGUCACCAUUUUGUAGGAAGCUUCAUACUAUGACGGCAAACAUAGCCUUGGCAAAAAGAUGCCAAGCACAGUGGGGAGUGGAAUCGUGGGAUUUCACGUCUGCUGUAAGGCACGGUGCUCUCCAAGGGAACGAAAACAGAAAAUGGGAAAGUUUACAUUGGCCACAUCAGGAGUAGGUCAGAGGAAAGCUAAAUUUACUAAUUGAGGAAAUAUUUCAGGCUACGCUCUACCCUGGAGUGCUCUAAGUUUCUUUUUUGAAAGCUGUCAUUUUGUGAACAUGAGAUACUUGGAAUUCUUGUGCUCUCAUUUUCCCCAACUUUGAGACACUUUGUGACUGGUAUACUUGUCUGAGAAGGGUCAGUGAGCCCAUGGGGGCUUUUGCAAUUAUUCUUUUUCUUCUAAUUUGGAGAAUAUUACCUACCUCUCCAUCGCAGUUUCAAAAGUGCAACUGAAUAGUACGACAAUCUCAAUGAAUAUGGUGGGAGAUGAUGAGAUCUAGUGAAACCAAACCAAACUGUUUAUGAACUUGGUAGUCUUGACCCUCGCUCAUUUUGAAUGUGUCUGAUUUAAUGAGCCUUUCUUUCUUUCUGUCUUUCUUUCCUUCUCUUCUUUCCUUCUUUCCUUCCUUCUGUUCUUUCUUCCUUCUUUUUUCUUUACCCUUCCCUUCCCUUCCCUUCCCUUCCCUUCCCUUCCCUUCCUUUCCCCUCCCUCCUUUUCCCUUUCUUUCCAAUUCACUUUCUGCAGUAAGGUAGCUAUUAUAUGUUAGUACACAAACUGGCACAUCAGGUGCUC
rnacentral:lncRNA from 1 species